UUAGAGUUUGAUCCUGGCUCAGGAUGAACGCUGGCGGCGUGCUUAACACAUGCAAGUCGAACGGGGUACCCUUGACAGAGGCUUCGGCCAAUUGAUAGGAAUACCUAGUGGCGGACGGGUGAGUAACGCGUGAGGAACCUGCCUUGGAGUGGGGAAUAACAGUUAGAAAUAGCUGCUAAUACCGCAUAAUGCAACUAAGUCGCAUGGCUUUGGUUGCCAAAGAUUUAUCGCUCUAAGAUGGCCUCGCGUCUGAUUAGAUAGUUGGCGGGGUAACGGCCCACCAAGUCGACGAUCAGUAGCCGGACUGAGAGGUUGGCCGGCCACAUUGGGACUGAGACACGGCCCAGACUCCUACGGGAGGCAGCAGUGGGGAAUAUUGGGCAAUGGGCGCAAGCCUGACCCAGCAACGCCGCGUGAAGGAAGAAGGCCCUCGGGUUGUAAACUUCUUUUAUUCGGGACGAAACAAAUGACGGUACCGAAUGAAUAAGCCACGGCUAACUACGUGCCAGCAGCCGCGGUAAUACGUAGGUGGCAAGCGUUAUCCGGAUUUACUGGGUGUAAAGGGCGUGUGGGCGGGAGAGCAAGUCAGACGUGAAAUUCCAGGGCUCAACCCUGGAACUGCGUUUGAAACUGUUCUUCUUGAGUGUCGGAGAGGUAAUCGGAAUUCCUUGUGUAGCGGUGAAAUGCGUAGAUAUAAGGAAGAACACCAGUGGCGAAGGCGGAUUACUGGACGAUAACUGACGGUGAGGCGCGAAAGCGUGGGGAGCAAACAGGAUUAGAUACCCUGGUAGUCCACGCUGUAAACGAUCGAUACUAGGUGUGCGGGGACUGACCCCCUGCGUGCCGGAGUUAACACAAUAAGUAUCGCACCUGGGGAGUACGAUCGCAAGGUUGAAACUCAAAGGAAUUGACGGGGGCCCGCACAAGCGGUGGAUUAUGUGGUUUAAUUCGAAGCAACGCGAAGAACCUUACCAGGGCUUGACAUCCUACUAACGAAGUAGAGAUACAUUAGGUGCCCUUCGGGGGAAGUAGAGACAGGUGGUGCAUGGUUGUCGUCAGCUCGUGUCGUGAGAUGUUGGGUUAAGUCCCGCAACGAGCGCAACCCUUAUUGUUAGUUGCUACGCAAGAGCACUCUAGCGAGACUGCCGUUGACAAAACGGAGGAAGGUGGGGACGACGUCAAAUCAUCAUGCCCCUUAUGGCCUGGGCUACACACGUACUACAAUGGCACUUAACAACGAGAAGCAAAGCCGCGAGGCGGAGCGAAACUCCAAAAAGUGUCUCAGUUCAGAUUGCAGGCUGAAACUCGCCUGUAUGAAGUCGGAAUUGCUAGUAAUCGCGGAUCAGCAUGCCGCGGUGAAUACGUUCCCGGGCCUUGCACACACCGCCCGUCA
rnacentral:rRNA from 1 species